CAAAAAGUUUUUUUAACUGACCAGCCACGUGGGGCAAGAAGAGGGAGGGAUAGAAGUUUUGAAUUGCAGUCUUCUCUCCCUCCCUCUUCUUACUCUAUGUGGCUGGUCAGUUAAAAAACUGUUUUG
rnacentral:miRNA from 1 species